rnacentral:rRNA from 1 species
CCUACGGGAGGCAGCAGUGGGGAAUAUUGGACAAUGGGGGCAACCCUGAUCCAGCCAUGCCGCGUGUGUGAAGAAGGCCCUCGGGUUGUAAAGCACUUUCAGUGAGGAAGAACGCCUGGUGGUUAAUACCCAUCAGGAAAGACAUCACUCACAGAAGAAGCACCGGCUAACUCCGUGCCAGCAGCCGCGGUAAUACGGAGGGUGCGAGCGUUAAUCGGAAUUACUGGGCGUAAAGCGCGCGUAGGUGGCUUGAUAAGCCGGUUGUGAAAGCCCCGGGCUCAACCUGGGAACGGCAUCCGGAACUGUCAAGCUAGAGUGCAGGAGAGGAAGGUAGAAUUCCCGGUGUAGCGGUGAAAUGCGUAGAGAUCGGGAGGAAUACCAGUGGCGAAGGCGGCCUUCUGGACUGACACUGACACUGAGGUGCGAAAGCGUGGGUAGCAAACAGCAUUAGAUACCCCGGUAGUC